GCCUGCGUGGUGCAAUUGGAAGACACGACUGACUUAGGAUCAGUUGCCUUAUGGUAUGAAGGUUCGAGACCUUUCGCAGGUA
rnacentral:tRNA from 1 species